rnacentral:rRNA from 1 species
GACGAACGCUGGCGGCGUGCUUAACACAUGCAAGUCGAACGGAAAGGCCCUGCUUUUGUGGGGUGCUCGAGUGGCGAACGGGUGAGUAACACGUGAGUAACCUGCCCUUGACUUUGGGAUAACUUCAGGAAACUGGGGCUAAUACCGGAUAGGAGCUCCUGCUGCAUGGUGGGGGUUGGAAAGUUUCGGCGGUUGGGGAUGGACUCGCGGCUUGUCAGCUUGUUGGUGGGGUAGUGGCUUACCAAGGCUUUGACGGGUAGCCGGCCUGGGAGGGUGACCGGCCACAUUGGGACUGAGAUACGGCCCAGACUCCUACGGGAGGCAGCAGUGGGGAAUAUUGCACAAUGGGCGGAAGCCUGAUGCAGCAACGCCGCGUGCGGGAUGACGGCCUUCGGGUUGUAAACCGCUUUCGCCUGUGACGAAGCGUGAGUGACGGUAAUGGGUAAAGAAGCACCGGCUAACUACGUG